rnacentral:rRNA from 1 species
UGGGGAAUAUUGCACAAUGGGCGCAAGCCUGAUGCAGCCAUGCCGCGUGUGUGAAGAAGGCCUUCGGGUUGUAAAGCACUUUCAGCGGGGAGGAAGGCGUUAAGGUUAAUAACCUUGGCGAUUGACGUUACCCGCAGAAGAAGCACCGGCUAACUCCGUGCUAGCAGCCGCGGUAAUACGGAGGGUGCAAGCGUUAAUCGGAAUUACUGGGCGUAAAGCGCACGCAGGCGGUCUGUCAAGUCGGAUGUGAAAUCCCCGGGCUCAACCUGGGAACUGCAUUCGAAACUGGCAGGCUAGAGUCUUGUAGAGGGGGGUAGGAUUCCAGGUGUAGCGGUGAAAUGCGUAGAGAUCUGGAGGAAUACCGGUGGCGAAGGCGGCCCCCUGGACAAAGACUGACGCUCAGGUGCGAAAGCGUGGGGAGCAAACAGG